rnacentral:rRNA from 1 species
UACGGGGGGGGCAAGCGUUGUUCGGAUUCAUUGGGCGUAAAGGGUGUGUAGGUGGCGCCGUAAGUGGGGUGUGAAAUUUCGAGGCUUAACCUCGAAACUGCAUUCCAUACUGCGGUGCUUGAGGACUGGAGAGGAGACUGGAAUUUACGGUGUAGCGGUGAAAUGCGUAGAUAUCGUAAGGAAGACCAGUGGCGAAGGCGGGUCUCUGGACAGUUCCUGACGCUGAGGCACGAAGGUCAGGGGAGCAAACGGG